rnacentral:rRNA from 1 species
GUCCACGCCGUAAACGAUGAGUGCUAGGUGCUAUGGGUAUUGACCCCUGUGGUGCCGCAGCUAACGCGUUAAGCACUCCGCCUGGGGAGUACGGCCGCAAGGCUAAAACUCAAAGGAAUUGACGGGGGCCCCGCACAAGCGGUGGAGCAUGUGGUUCAAUUCGACGCAACGCGCAGAACCUUACCUGGGUUAAAUCCACUCGAACUUGGCAGAGAUGCCUUGGUGCUCUUCGGAGAGCGAGUGAGAAGGUGCUGCAUGGCUGUCGU